GCACAGAAGGUGAGCUCUGUGUAUAGGCAGCACAUCUGUAUCUACAUCUAUAUCUACAUCUCUCUGCACCUUGUCAUUGAGUGUGCUCCUGUCGAACCCAAAUGCCGUUGCUGUCACGCCAUUGGAGCAAGGGUUUCCCCUUAAAGACUGAUUUUGAAACAAAAUGAAAGACAAUCAAGAAACCAAGAGGGUCAGCAGCACAGAGAGCUGAGACAGGUGUUUAGCCUUGGAACUCCUACAGGUUAACGGACCGGGAAGCAGGAACUGCUAAUAUUAAGGAUUACACAGUGCCAGAUCAAAAGAACGGAGGCAUUACAGCUCACAGCCGUCUCUCAAUCAAAAGAACGGAGGCAUUACAGCUCACAGCCGUCUCUCAAUCAAAAGAACGGAGGCAUUACAGCUCACAGCCGUCUCUCAGAGAGCAUUAUUAUUCAUUUGGGACCCAGACUUCAAGAAGAUGCCCCACACGGCACCUGCUUGUAGAAUGUGUAAUUUAACAGGAGACAGUGUUAUGAGAAAGAAAUUACAAAGUUGUACUGUAGCCCCAGGUAAUCUUAUUAAUCUUUUUGACCUUUCUUUUGCUAUCGGACUGGUUGUUUCUAAUAGAAAGAUACCAUUAUCAUUCUUUAUUGAAGUAGGAAGUAGGAAAAACACGAACAGCAAUGAGGUGGUUUUUAACGUGUGACACUAAUGGACAGUGUACCCAGGCAGGUGACACUGUGGUCACUCAAGUAGAUAAUUCAUGUGUUUACUUCAUUCCUGCCCUUCUCUUUCUAAUGGCAACAAAAUUCUAGAAUCUGACAGAGGAGUCUUAUUUAGCAGAUUUAGUGACUUUGAGGAAAAAAUACAAGUCAUUAGUAAAGUAGUCUUUGUUUGAAAGGAAGACUUUAUAGUCAUUAAUUUCCUUGAGAGGUCAGAGAGAUGGUGUGACAUUCCUGGAGGGCUUCAGGUGCAUCACAGAGGGGUCCGCAUAUCUCCUUUAGGUUCCUCUAAGAUGGUCUUCUCCUUUGGGGGAGUGUCACUUCUCUGCUGCAGCAUGUAGCAGAUUUCCCAUCGCGUCUGAAAACUGAAGCUUUGUGAAGACGUUCUGGGCAGCAGAGCUCCUAAUGCCGCUUUCCUGGAAGGGGUUCGUGGUUCAUGAAUUAAGAGUGAGAAAAGGGACAGAGGGGCAACAACUGCUUUAAUAAGUGUUCUUAAAUCUCUGUUAGUUUGAAGAUCUCUUUGGUAAUGUUUUAAAAUGUGUCCUGUUACUGUUCUCGUUCUCUUCCCUCCUACCCAUUUGCUAUAUGACAACACACUGGACAUUACCAGCAAGAAUGUACCUAAGGGCACACAUGGGUACAGAGAUGGGGCUGAAGGGCAUCGCAUGGUACUUCCUGGAGAAUGGCAUGGGUGAAUGAGGUUAGGAGUCUAUCUAACCACAUGUUGCUUCGUAGGCAAGGGGCUGGCUAUGUAGAGUUUUGGGUAGGUCCCCCCCCCAAAAAAAGUUACUGGACCAUAGCCACACCCAUUGAUUUAUAAUAUGUAUUAUAUUGAUUUAUUAUAUAUUCAAUUAAUAGCAAUGAAAUAUAAUAUAAAUAGUCUGUGGCUAUUUGGGGUUCAAGGGGCAAAGUGAGCAGGGUGACAAGGAUUAUAUGAUCCCAAUAGGCUAAAAUACUUUAUUUUAAAAAUUUGAGCUCAUUUUUCCAUUGGUAUACGAACUUCUAGAAUGACUUCUAAACUGAAAACAGAUAUUAAGUAAACAAUGCACCAGUGUGAUUUAUAAUUAUGACAUUGUACAGUAGAUCAUGGUAUCCUUAUUGUGGGACAUACAGUAAACAAGUGAUCUGCCCUUCUAAUAGGCUUUUAAGUGCAUGGUGUUUUAUGGUUGACUUGAGUUCAAUGCUUUAUGACAGAUCUCAAAAUCUGAUCCCAUCCUGCUUGACUGGAGCUGCUUGCCCAUGGAUUGACAGCUCUCACAUGGCCUUCCCCUUUCCCACCCCUAUCCCUCAGAUAUUGCAAAAAACAUUCUGUUUUUUGAUUCAGUGAGUCUGGCUACUUUGCAUACUUUAUGUAAGGGGCAUCACGAAGCACAGCUGAUUUUCUGUGACUGGCAUAUUUCACUUAGAAUAUCUUCACGUGUCAUGUACAUUUUUUCCCCUGACUGGUGGUGGUGGUGGUGGGGGGUCCUUUUUCAAGGCUGAAUAGCAUUUCGCCAUUCUGUCAUACCACAUUUUCUCUAUCCAUUCACUCAAUGAUGGUGAGUCCAGGUCAUUUUCACACAUUAGCUAUUAUGAAUAGUGUUUCAGUAAAUGAAAACAGCAAUGUGAUAUCACUUCAUACCUGUCAAGAUGGCUAUUAUUAAAAUAAAAGUCAGCAAGGGUUGCAAAAGAUUUGGAAGAACUGGAGUGCUUGCCUUCUGUUUGUGGCCAUGCAAAAUGGUAUAACUGCUACAGGAAAAAGUAUGACAAUCCUUCAAAAUAUAAAAAAGGUAGAAUCACCAUAUAUGAUAGGGCAAUCUUUCUCCAAAAUGUUUAUGCAAAACAAUUGAAACCGUUGCUACUGCCCAUGACCGUUCUGGAACUCGUCAGCUCCUGUCCCAGCUUCCUGUAGAGUCCUGGGAUUGUAGACACAAGCCACCAUGAUGGCCCUGACUUCUAAACACUUAAAUUCGCCCUCCAGUUGCAUCAUUUCUUGUUGAAGAGGGCUGUGGUCACUGUGUUUGGUAGUUUUCUGGGUGUGUCAUAUCUUGAGUGUUGUGAAUCCUCCAUCCCCAUCCACCCAGCUUUUUGGAACAUUGAAGAUGAGUUUCUGGAUAGAUGAAUACAACAUUUUCCCUCAGGGAAUUGCUACAGUAUUUUGGCUAAACAUACUAUUGUUUAAUGUUGCAAUUAUCUCAAGUCAAAUUGUACAUCCUUAAGUGAUAUGUCAAAAAUUUACCAACCCUUGAAGAGGAAUUUAGAAUUAAUAAACAUCUUUGUCAUGGAUAGAUAGAUGAUAGAUAGAUAGAUAGAUAGAUAGAUGAUAGAUAGAUAGAUAGAUAGAUAGAUAGAUAGAUAGAUAGAUAGAUAGAUAGCUCUUUGUCUUGCUAUUUGCUCAUAUUGCCCCUAACUACCCAGGACUCUCCGAUGACUGUUUUCUGUGCUCACGUGGAAGAAGGAAGGUCCAUGCUGUGCCAUUUACCCUUUGUCGGUAAAAUGAUUGCGCAACCAUUUUAUGGCAUAUAAAAUUUUUACUUUUUGUUCUCUCUGAUUCAACUCAUGGGUGAGAUUCUAUUACGAUGCUGCUGUGCAUUUAGGUUUGUUUCAGGCUGUCUCCAGGAAGUUGGGAAUACCGUGUUUGAGAGGAGAGAAGAACCACAGAAAGCAUUUACAGGUUUUAAAAACCCUGUGCUUGGGGACAUAUCUAUUGGUAAAAUAUUUUCUAUGGAAGUAUGAGGACUUGAUUUCUGUCCUCAGCAUUCAUGUAAAAAGCCAAGUAUGGCCGGGUGCGGUGGCGCACACCUUUAAUCCCAGCACUUGGGAGGCAGAGGCAGGCGGAUUUCUGAGUUCGAGGCCAGCCUGAUCUCCAAAGAGAGUUCCAGGACAGCCAGGGCUACACAGAAAAACCUUGCCUUGAAAAAACAACAACAAAAAAACAAACAAACAAACAAACAAAAAAAAAGCCAAGUAUGGCAGCACUCAUUUGUAACAUCACUGGAGACAGGAGGAUCCAGGAGCUAACUUGAUAACCAUCCUUGCCUAAGCAAUAAACUCCUGGUUCAGGGAGAGAGCUGGUCUUGAAAAAUAAUGUGGAGAGCAACUGAGGAACACACCUGAAUUCAACUUCUGACCUAACUAUACAUGCAUGUACAUGUACAACAUGUAUGCAUCCGUGAGAAUACAUACACAUAAUGAACUUUUAAAAAAAUCUUAAAGACUGAGUUUUCUUGGUAAUAUAUAUUGUGCAGUACUUACAGAUUCUAGUCAUAUAAGUAUAGUGCCCUUAAUAUUUCACGUGUAUCACUAUUAGCAUUAUAACAUAAUGCUAAUAUAUAGCUAAUAUAUAACAUACUGUUAUAACAUAAAGUGCAAUAUUCAGCAGCUCUAGCAUUUAUGUAUGUAAGUGGAUAAGUUCUAUAUGUUUAUGGGUACAUAGAGUUUUGUGUAUGUCACACAGAAUACGGAAGGACAAUAAAUCGGCUCUCAUUGUAAAGACUUUGAAGUAGGGAGUUGCUAGGUAUGUUUGUUUCCUUGUGCAACUGAGCUUGCUUGAACUGACUCUGAUGUCGUCAUAUGUACCUUAUGAAAGAUGAUUUUCUGAAACAAAAAAUUGGAGACAGAUUUAUUUCCAUAUUUUGCCUUUUAUCCUUUUUCCUUUUCCUUCUCUCUUCAAAGUUCAUUUAUGCAAAUCCUCUCCAGUGUUUACAAGUGGUGUCUCCUUCAAAACUGGCUUUGGGUAUUCUGAUGACUACUCACGGUUAACAGGGAAAGUAUCUGGGAGUCCUUCCAAAUACAGUGUCUUUUAGGGCCAGUCCUGUCUUUCCGUCUGAGCGCUUCCCAGUCAGCCUGUCUUUAGUGGCAGGGGAGGCAGGAAGCCAAUAAGUGAAAGAAAAGCAGUAGCUGGCCAGUCCCACGCAGCUGCCUAGAGCAAAGUAAACAGAACCCACACUGAGUGCUGCCAAAGGCUGAUGCCCUUGUUUCUGAUAUUGUGCUUCAGUUUUACUUUGUUUGUUGUGUUCCUUGCCCGCUCCCACACUGUAAGGUCAACUACUCAUUGAUGAUCUUUAUAUUCUUCAUGAGAGAAUGUGCAUAUUCAGAGACAAAUGAAUAUUCGUUGACUUUGAAGCCCAAUCUGCCUCCCAUGGAAAACUGUCAUGCCGCUUUGAAAUGACUCCAAACAUUCAGAGUGUGUCAUUUGCUAUGCCUGUUUUGAAGAGUAUGCCUUCAUCCCUUUGAUGGGUUAGAAUCUCAUCAGACUCAACCUUGGCGUGGGAGGCUUCAAGAACUUUAGUACAUCAGCCACCUUUCUCAGCCUCUCUCACCUUCCCCAAGAAGCCUUAGUCUUAGUCAAUUGGUCUCCAUAACCCAGCCUGAUGAUGUCAUACCAAUGCCAGGCAUUUGUUUCUCACAAUUGUAGAGGCUGAAGUUGGAUUGCGAACAUCCCAGGGUAUUGGUGAUAGCGUUCUUCUCUGUUGUAGCCUGCAAAUCCCUUCUUGGGUCCUCACAGAGUAGGUAGAGAGUGUCUCUUCCUUCAGAACACUAAUACACUUAUGUGGGCUCUACCUCAUGACCUAAACCCCUCCUGAGUCAUGCUUGGUAUUAUAGCAUCAGAUUUUCACCUUACUAAUUUGUAAAGGUGGCAAGAGCUACAAAAAUUUGGUCAAUAAUACCCCUCCCCAGUACUAAAAUCUUGCCAGAGAGAAACAUGAAACCAUGCAAUAUCCACCUCAGCUCUUAACAGGGGAUACAUAGAGUGUGCCGUGUGCAAGCUUUCACAAGGAAGCCAUAGGCUGUGUCUAGAAUUGAGGAAAUCCUGUAUGGUAAAUCGUCCUGUUUGUUCAGUUCAUAAAUAACAUAAAAUUGAAUAGGGUCCAUUGUAUAAUCCGAGACUUGAGAGACAAAUAAGCCAGGUGCAGCCUGUGGACCUUGGAUCCUGACGUACGGGCCAGCUGCAGAAGGAGGAGACUGAGAAACUGGAACCUGAACCUGAAGUGGUACCAGGAGGCACUGUGUGCCAUUUUGGUUAAUCCUACGAACGGCUAUGUGCCAUUUUCGUGUGAAGCUGUGACUUUGGUUCAUUUAAAAAUACUUUGGUGUCAGAAACACAUGCUUAGUCAAUAUAUACUUGGUCAUUUCAUAUGAAUAAAUAUGUGGGGGCUUACACUAAAAUUCAGAUCCCCUCACUUACUCUGUGUG
rnacentral:lncRNA from 1 species